AGUCUUGGUCAUUAAGAGGAAGUAAAAGUCGUAACAAGGUUUCCGUAGGUGAACCUGCGGAAGGAUCAUUAACGAGUUUUGAAUGGAGUUGUUCUGGUCUUUCGGGGCAAGUGAACGCUUCUCUCAAUUCACCUUACACCUGUGCACUUUAUGGGGAACUACUUGGAUCUAAGUUGGAUAACGACGGUGGUCUAGAGUGUCCUCUUUUAUACCAAACUACAGUAUUAGAAAGUCUUUUUUGCUUGAUGCAAAACAAAUACAACUUUCAGCAACGGAUCUCUUGGCUCUCGCAUCGAUGAAGAACGCAGCGAAAUGCGAUAAGUAAUGUGAAUUGCAGAAUUCAGUGAAUCAUCGAAUCUUUGAACGCACCUUGCACUCCUUGGUAUUCCGAGGAGUAUGCCUGUUUGAGUGUCAUGAAAUCAUCAACUUCAUAGUUUUAUUACUGUUGAGGCUUGGAUUUGGAAGCUGCUGGCUCUUAGUCGGCUCUUCUUAAAUGUAUUAGCUGCUUGUCCUUGAGUUGGCUCAGAGUGUGAUAAGUAUCUACACUUGGUGGCUGCUUCAUUAGGAUGUGGCUUCUAAUCCGUCUUAGGACAAUUAUUUAAGAUCUGACCUCAAAUCAGGUAGGACUACCCGCUGAACUUAAGCAUAUCAAUAAGCGGAGGAAAAGAAACUAACAAGGAUUCCCCUAGUAACGGCGAGUGAAGCGGGAAAAGCUCAAAUUUAAAAUCUGGCUGUCUUAGGCAGUCCGAGUUGUAAUCUGGAGAAGUG
rnacentral:rRNA from 1 species